AUUGAACGCUGGCGGCAGGCCUAACACAUGCAAGUCGAGCGGAUGAAGGGAGCUUGCUCCUGGAUUCAGCGGCGGACGGGUGAGUAAUGCCUAGGAAUCUGCCUGGUAGUGGGGGAUAACGUCCGGAAACGGGCGCUAAUACCGCAUACGUCCUGAGGGAGAAAGUGGGGGAUCUUCGGACCUCACGCUAUCAGAUGAGCCUAGGUCGGAUUAGCUAGUUGGUGGGGUAAAGGCCUACCAAGGCGACGAUCCGUAACUGGUCUGAGAGGAUGAUCAGUCACACUGGAACUGAGACACGGUCCAGACUCCUACGGGAGGCAGCAGUGGGGAAUAUUGGACUAUGGGCGAAAGCCUGAUCCAACCAUGCAGCGUGUGUGAAGAAGGUCUUCGGAUUGUAAAGCAAUUUAAGUUGGGAGGAAGGGCAGUAAGUUAAUACCUUGCUGUUUUGACGUUACCAACAGAAUAAGCACCGGCUAACUUCGUG
rnacentral:rRNA from 1 species